UAGGGAAUCUUCGGCAAUGGGGGGAACCCUGACCGAGCAACGCCGCGUGAGUGAAGAAGGUUUUCGGAUCGUAAAGCUCUGUUGUUAAGGAAGAACGAGUGUGAGAAUGGAAAGUUCAUGCUGUGACGGUACUUAACCAGAAAGGGACGGCUAACUACGUGCCAGCAGCCGCGGUAAUACGUAGGUCCCGAGCGUUGUCCGUAUUUAUUGGGCGUAAAGCGAGCGCAGGCGGUUAGAAAAGUCUGAAGUGAAAGGCAGUUGCUCAACCAUUGUAAGCUUUGGAAACUGUUUAACUUGAGUGCAGAAGGGGAAAGUGGAAUUCCAUGUGUAGCGGUGAAAUGCGUAGAUAUAUGGAGGAACACCAGUGGCGGAGGCGACUCUCUGGUCUGUAACUGACGAUGAGGUUCGAAAGCGUGGGUAGCAAACAGG
rnacentral:rRNA from 1 species